CUCAUCAUCUUUGUGGAAUUGACCAAAUGACUUCCUGGGGGAGACUAAGAGGGCCAGUUCUUCAUCAGGUAGAGGGAUACCAGAUCUAGAGGCUGAAUUAUAAAAAAUUAUAGUAUUUUUAAAAACUGAGUUUUGUUCUUGUGAAAAUCACUUCUGUAUAAUGUUAGAAAAGCAAAAAUGUUUCUCAUAUCUAUGAAAAGGAAGAAAAAGAAGUUAAACCUAGAGGGUCAAAUGUUCUUCAUAAACUUAAAAUCAUUCCUGUAUGCUUAUUUGGCAAAGGAUAUGUGGACAAAAAAAAUGCUGCUUGCCAUUUCAGUAAACCAAGAAUGUUGCCUGCCAUUCCAGCAAACAAGGAAUUAUGCCCACCAUUAAGCCAUCAGUCAUGGUAGCCACCCCCGAAGGUGUGGCUGAGGGGAAAUUCCUGAUGGAGGAAAAAAAGAUACGCCCUAGAUAGUGUCUGACUCUUUGUGACCCUAUAGUUCAUGGAAUUCUCCAGGCCAGAAAACUGGAGUGGGUAGCCUUUCCCUUCUCCAGUGGAUCUUCCCGACCCAGGAAUUGAACUGGGGUCCCCUGCACUGCAGGCAGAUUCUUUACCAACUGAGCUAUGAGGGAAGCCUCAUUGCUAGAUAGGUAAGAUGCAUAUCAAAGGGAUAAUUUCAGUGAGCCCAGACUUGAAAAGCAUCUUCCCAUAUAUAGAAAAGCACUAAAAUCAUUAACUUGUGAUGUUUGUUUUGUUCGUGUGUGUGAUUAGCGAUAAUCUUUUGAUGUCCAGCUACAUAUUUUUUAUUCCCCCUACAAAAACUCCUAUAUACUCUGGCUCUUCCCUUACCUCUUUGAAGUGGUUCCUUAGAGCUAUCUGAGAGGCUGCCUCCCAGGCUAUAGUCAGUCUUUCAUUAAUGUCCCUGAAUAAAAUAUAACCUUUAACUUUUAGGUUGUGCACCCUUUUUUCUUUUUUCUUUUCCUUUCCCUGACAGUUGUAAUGAAAGAAAACAGCCUAGAUGUCCCAUGAAAUAAACCACGGAAUUGCUCCCUGCUAGAAGUUAAAAAUGGAACACAUCACAGACACGGAGGUCAGCGCCUGUAAGCUGGAUACCUCUUAGGCUUUGGGCCGUCAAGCUCUGUUUGAUGAGUUGGACACAUCACAUGGCGGUCUCCUCCCUGCAGGCAGAUGGAGAGAGGCUGUUUCUAAAGAAUCCCAGUCUACGGCCAUACCACCCUGAACGCGCCCGAUCUCUUCUGAUCUCGGAAGCUAAAGAAUCCCAAACAUCAGAAUACUGGAAAACCAGUAUACACUGUGUUUGGCCUGACAGCUGGUGCAGCACAUUGAGCUCUCCAUUCUGAGGUGAGUGGCUGUCCUUGGGGCAGGAGGACGUUGCUGAGUAUCAGGCCAUGCGUCUUGGAUGGUCCCUUUAUACCUGCCUUGGGACUUCUACUCAAGUUCUCUGCGGGCUCUCUCUGUACCAAUGGGUAGUUACUUGUCUAAUUCUGUUCUUCUCAUCCAAUCCAGGAAGUGGUAAUGCAAUCUCAUUUAGACCCUUACUCAAAUCUCUUUUGCCUUAAAUGACUCCUUGCACUUAGGAAGUAUGGUGGCCACUAUUUUUCCAAAAAAAAAAAAAAAGGAGUCUCCUUUAUUUAUUAAUU